rnacentral:rRNA from 1 species
UACGGAGGGUGCAAGCGUUAUCCGGAUUCACUGGGUUUAAAGGGUGCGUAGGAGGGCAGGUAAGUCAGUGGUGAAAUCCCCGAGCUUAACUUGGGAACUGCCGUUGAUACUAUCUGUCUUGAAUACCGUGGAGGUGAGCGGAAUAUGGUCAUGUAGCGGAUGAAAUGCUUAGAUAUUGACAUAGAACACCAAUUGCGAAG